rnacentral:tRNA from 1 species
GUUGCUCAGUGGUUAGAGUGUUGGCCUUGUGCACCAGCAGUGGUAGGUUCAAACCUACC